rnacentral:rRNA from 1 species
UUAGAUGUCCGGGGCCGCACGCGCGCUACACUGAAGGGGUCAACGCGCCAUUACGUUUCCCGGGCCGAAAGGCUCGGGGAACCGGUGGAACCCCGACGUAGCGAUUCGUGCUAGGGACAGGGACUUGCAAUUGUGUCCCUCGAACGAGGAAUUCCCAGUAGGCGCGAGUCAUCAGCUCGCGCCGAUUACGUCCCUGCCCUUUGUACACACCGCCCGUCGCUACUACCGAUCGAACGAUUUAGCGAGGUCUUCGGACCGGCGGCCGAAGGUGCGCAAGCGCCGGCGGCUUUCGCCGGGAAGAUGCCCGAACUUGAUCGUUUAGAGGAAGUAAAAGUCGUAACAAGGUUUCC